rnacentral:rRNA from 1 species
GACAGAGGGUGCAAACGUUUGUUCGGAUUUACUGGGCGUAAAGCGCGUGUAGGCGGCUUUGCAAGUCGGAUGUGAAAUCCCACGGCUCAACCGUGGAAGUGCAUCCGAAACUGCAUCGCUGGAGUCUCGGAGAGGAAGGUGGAAUGCUUGGUGUAGAGGUGAAAUUCGUAGAUAUCAAGCAGAACACCUGCGGCGAAGGCGGCUCUUUGGUCUGUAACUGACGCUGAGGCGCGAAAGCGUGGGGAGCGAACAGG